ensembl:lncRNA
GAUGGGAAUAGGGAGGUGCAGAUUCAGCAGUUCACCCCAAAUCACACUGCCCGUAAGUGGGGGAAGCCGGAACUGACUCCGGAUGCUCUGUGACCUUUCUGGGAAGCGGCAGUUAUCACAUUGGACUUAGAAUUGUAAAACACGGGUUUGAGUUCUGACUCUGCUGCCUCCAUGUGACUUCACUCUCUGUGCCUUGGCUUCCUUCCUCCUUCAUAAAACAGGGUGACCAACAUGUGCUCUGUCCAUUCAUAGAGCUGUUUCGGGGUCAAAUGAAAUAAUGAGUGUCAAAGGACUUUUAAAAAGUUGACAUGCUGAGCGUAUGAGUGGAUUAUUCAUACGUGGUUUUGUUUUCCAGUUUUUAUUUUCUCUCCUGCCUCUCAGAAGAGGUCUUUGUCUGCUUUGGUUGUGCCACUGCGUGCAGGGCCCAGAACCAGAGGCGCUUGGUUAAUAACCUUUUCCUCUGUUCUCUGCUGGGCUCCUGUUUCUCAGGCCUUUCAGGGAGACUCAUCACCUUUCCCUCUCUCAAAAUCAUCAAGCCCAGACUCAAGAGGGUGGGGAGUUUACCACGGCAGGAUUGCAAUGUUCAGAUCAAGACCAGCACCAGAGUAAGUCCACAAAUGCAUCUCAGACAUUAUCAUGGAAGCCGAUUGGAAUUUAUGCUGCACUUUAUAGAAACCGGCUUAAGUAAAUUUUCAGAAACAUACUUACUUUUGCGGAGCAAGGCAAGGUCUGACUUUAUUUUUUGGCAGCCUGCCUGGUCUGGCUUUAUUUUUCUUCUUAAAAAAUUAUUUUGGGGACUUCCCUGGUGGUCCAGUGGUUAAGACUCUGUGCCUCCAUUGCCGGGGGCGUGGGUUUGACCCUUGGUUGGAGAACUAAGAUCCUACAUGCCAUGUCGUGUGCCCUGCCGAUAAGACACAAAGUAAAAAAUUAUUUGUAAUAUAUAUAUAUUUUUCAUUGAUAGACAUUGCUUUCUUGAAAGUAUAACAUAAUAAAGUGCAUUGAUUUUAAGUGUACAGAUUGACAACUUUUCAUGGGUGUUCAUCCACAUAGCCACCACUCACGUCAAGAACCAGAAUAUUUCCAGCACCCUGGAGAACUCCCUUAUGUCCCCUCCCAGGUGAUAUCUGCUCCCACAGUUUUGGUUUAAUUUUGGUACAAAAUUCAAAAGGAACAAGGAUAAAUCUAAACAUCUUCCUCCCGCCCUGCUGUCACACACACAUUUUUUUUCUCCUAAGAGUUGAUAUUACUGAGAAACCAGUUUCUAUAAGAAACUAUAGAUAUUUCCAAAGAAAGGAGAUACACACACAUUAUAUUAUGUUUUAUGUUUUGUUGUAUAGAUUUUCCCCCUUUUUACAAUAAAUGUAUCUUUUUUCACUAAAGUUGAAAUUGUUGUACACCUUGUUUCUUUGAAACACUAAAAUCAUUUUAACAACCAGCAAAUUAAUAUCUUUACCAAAAGGCUUCCCCUUAUAAAAAAUCUAAACUUUGACUACUAAAUAAUUCUAUUCUCUGUCUUACAGCCCUCUGAGGGUCCUUAGGCAACAAGUCCAGCUACUACAUCAAAAAGUAUGAUUCAAUUAGGAAAAUGUGAUUCAUGUUAACUUCUUGAUCCAACCAAUAAACCAUUUUGUGAGAUUCUAUCUUAUUAGUAUUAUCUUUUCCUUUUAUAGCUGUUAUCAAAUAACAUCAUGGGUUUGUAUUCUCAGUAACUCAUGAGUUCUAAAGUACAAAAAAAAGACUAAAAUUUGGAGCAUAAACCAUGGAAUUUCUUAAUGGUCUGAAUUACUGGAGUUUAUUCGGCUGGGGCGAAUGAAAGGGUGAAUGAAAGACACAUACUGUACUUUCAGAUGUAUUAAGCAGUUUUCUCGGGAAAUUGGUCAAGAAGAAUCCACUGGAGGUGUAUGAACUUUCCCAGUGGGGAGGCAGACCAGACCCUGCCAGAGGACAGCUGACGGGGUGGGGCUGUGAGUUCCAGGAAGCAGAGUGGAGGCCAGGCUGAGCGGGAAGGCUGGCAGGUAACCUGAAUCAAAGUCCACACAUACAUCAGCAAGGCCAAAGGGCAUAAACAGGGCCCCAGACCAGAGACACAGCCUAUGUCCAGGCAGAUCUGAGCUGGACUGGCUGAGAAGGGAGUGAGGAGCAAGCUGGGCGGCAGCAGGUUGUUCCAAGAGUUGACCUGGUGACUUGCUUCAACCAACAAGACACAGCAGCAGUGAUGUUCUGAUAUCUUUGUGGAGAUGUCCACGUGGAGAGGCACCGAGGCACCCCGCCUACAGGUGGCACUAACUGGCCAGCUGUACAAGUGAGUAACCUUAGCAAUGAUCCUCCAGUCCCAGCUGUCAUCUGAUGACUUCGGCCUCAGUCAACACCUGACUAAAGCCUCGUGGGAGACCCCAAGUGCGAAGUGCCCAACUGAGUCCUUCACAAAUUUCUGACUGAAAGAAACCAUAAGAGAAAAUAAAUUUUUGUUGUAGUUUUAUGUUAAUAUAUUUUGGGGGUAAUUUGUUAUAUAGUCAUAUAUAAUUAGUAAACAAUCUAUAUGGCCAUCAAUAGGGAAUUAUUUAAAUAUAUUACAGUACAUACAUAUAACGGCAACCAUGCAGCUGCUCAAAACAAUGAGGAAGUUGUUUAUGUUCUGAUAUGGGACAGCCCUCCAAGAUGAUUCAAGUGAGAAACGCAAAGUGCAAAAUAGUAUAUAGAGGACACUGCUGCUGCUGCUAAGUUGCGUCAGUCGCGUCCCACUCUGUGCGACCCCAUAGACGGCAGCCCACCAGGCUCCCCCGUCCCUGGGAUUCUCCAGGCAAGAACACUGGAGUGGGUUGCCAUUUCCUUCUCCAAUGCAUGAAAGUGAAAAGUGAAAAGUGAAAGUGAAGUUGCUCAGUCGUGUCCGACUCUUAGUGACCCCAUGGACUGCAGCCCACCAGGCUCCUCCGUCCAUGGGAUUUUCCAGGCAAGAGUACUGGAGUGGGGUGCCAUUGCCAUUUGUGAAAAAAAUUACGCAUAGACAUAUAUGUAUAUGUAGAGAGGGCUUCCCUGGUGGCUCAGACAGUAAAGAGGUCUGCCUGCAAUGCAGGAGACCUGGGUUUGAUACAUAUGCAUAUUAUUUUAUGUGUGUAUACACAUAAACGCAUACUACCUACAUGUGUAUAUGUGUGUAUAUAUAUAUAUAUAUAUGUAUGUAAAAUAUCUCUGGAAAGAACAUAAGACAUCGGUAACAGCAAUUGCCUCUGAGUAGGGGAACUGGUUGACUUUGGAACAGAGAUGGGGAUAUACCUUUUGAAUUUGGAUAUAAUACUGCAUCCUUGUGAGUAUACUAUCUAUUAAAAAAUAAAGUUGAAAAUUUUAAACAGUGCUCUCUCUUUGACUCAAAAAUUUCACCUCUUGGAAUUUAUUCAUAGUAGAUAAUCAUGGCAAAUAUUUAACUAUGAAGAUGUUGUUGCAGCUUCAUUCAAUAUCAUAAAAAUGGUAAAAUAACCCAAUUAUUCAAUAAUAGGAAAUUUGUUCAGUAGCUAUGGCGUGUAUCUGCCACCAUAUAAAAUAGCAUUUUAGAAAACAAUUCAGUGCCUAGUGAGGUGAUCAUGAUACAGUAAUGGAUAAGAAAUUAUGAAAUGGCACAGCUUACUCUUAUCUUUAAAGUAAACUCAGCUAUAUAAAUGUAGAUAAAGAUGGAGAUUAAUAAGACACAUCAAUAGAUACAGAUAGAUAUAGAAACCCAAAUGUUAACGGUGAUUAUCUCUGGAAGGCCCGAUUACUGAUUAUCGUUAAUUUUUCCUUCUUUUUUGUCUGUUUUUAAUGAUAAACAUAUACUACUUAUUAAAAGGGCUUCCCAGGUGGCUCAGUGGUAAAGAAUCCACCUGCCAAGCAGGAGACUUGGGUUCAUUCCUUCCCUGGAGAAAG